GUUCUCCCUUCUACAGAAGUUGCAUCGCAGUCUUUGUUCCAAGGAUCUUACAAGCCAGAAACCAAGUCAGACCCAGGACUUCUGAGUGAUGCACCUGUUACCAGCAAUAGUCCCAGAUCUAGUGGGUUAGCACAUUUGUCGAUCACUGGUAAGGAGUGUUUCUUAUCGUAUGUGCCUUUAAUUUCUGUUUAUGUGUCUGCCGUUCUAAUGCUAAAUGUUAC